rnacentral:lncRNA from 1 species
GCCCCCAGUACUUCCCCAAUCCUCCCCUUCUCCAUACCUCCCAAUCUUGUUCCUCUACUCUUUUGGUACUGGGGAUUGAACCCAGGGGCACUUAAGCAUGGAGAGACAGGGUCUUUCUGAAUUGCUAAGUGACUUAGGCUGGAUAAGUUGCUGAGGCUGGCUUUGAAUCCCUGAUACUCCCGCCUCAGCCUCUUGAGCUACUGAGAUUAUAGGUGUGCACCACCACACUCAGUUCUUUCUUCUGUUUUUUGAGAGACACCUCAUUUUUAAUAUGUCUUCUCCCAUGCCCUUUGGCUUCUACAUACAAGAAAAAAAAAACAUUCAAUCCGUAACUUUCUGAAUCUGGCUAUAUCACUUAAUUUCUCCCAUACAUCCAUUUACUUGCAAAUGGCAUAAUUUCAUUCUUAUUUAUAGCUGAGUAGAAUGCCAUUGUGUAUAGACACCACAUUUUCUUUAUCUUAGUCUGUUGAUUGGCACCUAUGCUAGAUCCAUAAUAUGACUAUUGUGAAUUGCACAUCUAUAAACAUUAGUAUUCACAUAUCACUAUAGUAUCCUGAUUUUAGAUCUUUUGGAUACAUACCAAACAGUGGGAUAUCUGGUUCAUGUGGUGGUUCUAUUUCUAAUCUUUUGAGGAAUCUCCAUACUGCUUUCCAAAGUGGUUGUACUAAUUUUAAUUCCCACCAAAAAUAUGAGUGUACCUAUUUCCCCACAUCCUCACCAGAAAUUAUUAUUAUUUGUAUUCUUGAUGAUUGCCAUUCUGACUAGAGUCAGAUGAAAUCUCAGUGUAGUUUUCAUUUGCAUUUCCCUGAUUGCUGUGGAUGUUGAACAUUCUUUCAUGUAUUUGUUGGCCAUUUUUAUUUUUCUUUUGAAAAUGUUUAUUUAGAUCUUUUGCCCAUUUAUCAACUGGGUAUUGUUUUUGAGUUUUUUAUAUAUUCUGGGUAUUUAUCUUCUGUCAGAGGAGUAGCUGGCAGGGAUUUUCUCCCAUUCUGUAGGCCCUCUCUUAUGCUCUUUAAUUUCUUUUGCUGUGCAGAAACUUUUUAAUAUGGUGGCAUCCCACUUACUGAUUUUUGGUUUCCUUUCUUGAGCUUUAAGGGUCUUGUUAAGGAAGUUGGUUCCUGUGCCAAUAUGGUGGAUUUCUGCCCCUAAGUUUUCUUCUAGCAGUUGCAAAGUUUCCUC